AUUUCUAAUUUAUAUAGUUUAACUAAAACAUUACUUUUUCAUUGUAAAAUUAAAUAAACUUAUUUUAUAA
rnacentral:tRNA from 2 species